rnacentral:rRNA from 1 species
AGAGUUUGAUCCUGGCUCAGAACGAACGCNGGCGGCGUGGAUAAGACAUGCAAGUCGAACGCUUGUUACGGAGUAGCAAUAUUCUGUGGCAGGAGUGGCGGAAGGGUGCGUAACAUGUGGGUAAUCUGCCGUGAAGGCUGGGAUAACUUGCUGAAAGGCGAGCUAAUACCGGAUGAGAUAACCGAGAGGCAGCUUUUGGUUAUGAAAGUUGGGGACUGCCAAAGGCCUGACGCUUCACGAUGAGCCCGCAACCUAUCAGCUAGUUGGUGAGGUAAAGGCUCACCAAGGCUAAGACGGGUAGCUGGUCUGAGAGGACGACCAGCCACACUGGAACUGAGAGACGGUCCAGACACCUACGGGUGGCAGCAGUCGAGAAUUUUUCACAAUGGGCGCAAGCCUGAUGGAGCGACGCCGCGUGGGGGAUGAAGGGCUUCGGUCCGUAAACCCCUGUCAUUUGCGAACAAAGCUGCUGGCCUAAUACGCUAGUAGUUGAUAGUAGCAAAAGAGGAAGGGACGGCUAACUCUGUGCCAGCAGCCGCGGUAAUAC